GUUUCGUCGUCAUCGUUGUCCGGAAGAGCUUCCACGCCCGGAAACUUCAGUACCCGGACUUACUGCUGGAGAAAUCGGAGGUUGCAUUCUCUGAUCGGCAUUUGCUCGAACGCUUGUGUUCAGCCUUGUCUAGAAAGUCUCUAGAUUUUGUGCAAUGCAAUAAGCUCGUCCCUGAUUUGUCGCCUUCUGAAUUCGAUAGGUUGUCUCUGGACGUUCGAUCCAUUGAGUUUUUUCCGCCUGGCCUCUGAUACGUUUAGUUUCUCCUUCAGCCUUCGUUUGUAUUGUUUAUUGAUAGGUCUGUUGCUUUUUUCGAAUCAGCUAUUGUGACAGACGAGUCGAGAUUGCGAGUUCGUGCUUUGAUCCGGAACGUGGUUGUACAUAACACGCUGAUUAAAAGGGCUUAUGAGACUCGGAAGCAUGAUCAAAACUGUUGAGAUUAAGGGAUUCCAUGGUUUCAAAGGGGUUAACCGCCGCAUCAGUGAUAUAUAAUUCGCUCAUAAAGGGAUAUGGCAAGAGCGGAGAAGCAGAUAAUGCGGAGCUCCUCUUGAAGGAAAUGCUAUCGAUGGGUUUAAAUGUGAACCAGGGCUCCUACACAUCUGUCAUUUCGUUGUUCUGCAAGAAAUCCAUGUUUGAUUCAGCACUGUGCUACUGAGAAAUUUGAGAACUGAUGGUAAACAGCUUACGGCGUUGUUUUAUGGACUCUGUAAGCACGGUAAGCACUCAGAGGCAGUUGAACUUUGGACUUCUAAGGAAGAGUUUUGUUUUAAAUGUGCAGACUUCAAAUGCUUUGCUUGAUGGUCGUUGUAAAGCUGGAAACAUGAAUGAAGCCUUAGGAUUCACAAGGAGAUAUUAGAAUGUGGUUUUGCAUCGGAUACAUCGCCUUAUAACUUUUUGAUUGGGGAAUAUUGCAGGCAGAGGAAUUUGGUAGAUGCUUUUAUGUUCUUUGAGAAAUUGGUUGAGAAAGGAGUCAAAGGACUUAAGCCCGACAUUCCUACUUACAAUUUGUUGAUAUGAGGGGAGGGGGCUGCUUCGUAUGGAUGAGAUAGAGGAGGCGGUAAACCUCUGCGGUGAAUGUAAACGGCAUGGUCUUGUUCCAAGUUUUCAUACAUAGUAUAUGAUGAUAGAUGGCUAUUGUAAAGCUGGAAAUACAGAUGAGGUUGGGGAAGCGGAUGUUGAAUCCAACCCAUAAUAGCAGGCUAUUGAUCCGAGCAGGCUUUAGACGGCAAUCUUAAUAACACAGGAAUUCCCUGCUCUCACAUAAACUCAGCUUGUAUCUAACUCCAUGCCCUGAAGAGACAAGCUUUGGCCAUGGACAGAUAGAUCCUCAGUUGCAGCAUCUGAUAAAAGAUCACACAUUGGCCAAGGAGCAGUCAGCAUUUUUUCACAGUUCACAAAGACGUAAAACCGGUGUUCAUAGGAGUUGUUUUAGACCAAUCACAGGAUGAGACACAUUGCCAUUCUUCAGCAUGGUGUUUGGAAAGAGCAGUUGUUUCAGAUCUUCAGACUGGUUGGUAUCAGCUCUGGACAUAGAUUUCCUGUCCACAGCGUUGACAGACACAAAACCCUAAUCUUUAUAAACUAAGGACCCCUCAGUGAAAGCACUGCCUUUCAUACGUUUAACUCCCAAAUUUCACCGGAUGAAGAAAUUGUUGAGAAACCACAGAAUUGUUGUGGCCAGUGUUUCGAGCUUUCAUAUUCACUA